GAUGAACGCUGGCGGCGUGCUUAACACAUGCAAGUCGAACGGUGAACGAGGGAGCUUGCUCCCUCCGGAUCAGUGGCGAACGGGUGAGUAACACGUGAGCAAUCUGCCCUGGACUCUGGGAUAAGCGUUGGAAACGACGUCUAAUACCGGAUACGAGACGCGAAGGCAUCUUCAGCGUCUGGAAAGAACUUCGGUCCAGGAUGAGCUCGCGGCCUAUCAGGUAGUUGGUGAGGUAACGGCUCACCAAGCCUACGACGGGUAGCCGGCCUGAGAGGGUGAGCGGCCACACUGGGACUGAGACACGGGCCAGACUGCUACUGGAGGCAGCAGUGGGGAAUAUUGCACAAUGGGCGAAAGCCUGAUGCAGCAACGCCACGUGAGGGACGACGGCCUUCGGGUUGUAAACCUCUUUUAGCAGGGAAGAAGCGAAAGUGACGGUACCUGCAGAAAAAGCACCGGCUAACUACGUGCCAGCAGCCGCAGUAACAC
rnacentral:rRNA from 1 species